UCUACCGUGAGGUAGAAUCUGAAGGAAGCCGAAGGCAAAACACUGGCCCGACGAACAGAAACCGCAUAAGAGGCGCACAUGUUGGAUAAGAAGGCGAA
rfam:Actinobacteria bacterium CG2_30_50_142 cg2_3.0_scaffold_488_c, whole genome shotgun sequence.